rnacentral:rRNA from 1 species
GACGAACGCUGGCGGCGUGCUUAACACAUGCAAGUCGAACGGUGAAGCGCCUUCCUUUUUGGUGGGUGUGGAUGAGUGGCGAACGGGUGAGUAACACGUGAGUAACCUGCCCCCUUCUUCUGGAUAACCGCAUGAAAGUGUGGCUAAUACGGGAUAUUCUGGGUCUGUCGCAUGAUGGGUCUGGGAAAGAUAUUGUUUCGGUGGGGGAUGGGCUCGCGGCCUAUCAGCUUGUUGGUGGGGUGAUGGCCUACCAAGGCGGUGACGGGUAGCCGGCCUGAGAGGGUGGACGGUCACACUGGGACUGAGACACGGCCCAGACUCCGACGGGAGGCAGCAGUGGGGAAUAGUGCACAAUGGGCGCAAGCCUGAUGCAGCGACGCCGCGGGAGGGAUGGAGGCCUUCGGGUUGUGAACCUCUUUCGCCAGUGAAGCAGGCCUGCCUCGUAUGUGGGUGGGUUGACGGUAGCUGGAUAAGAAGCGCCGGCUAACUACGUG